rnacentral:rRNA from 1 species
AUUGAACGCUGGCGGCAUGCCUUACACAUGUAAGUCGAACGGUAACGGGCCUUCGGGUGCCGACGAGUGGCGAACGGGUGAGUAAUGUAUCGGAACGUACCUUUCAGUGGGGGAUAACGUAGCGAAAGUUACGCUAAUACCGCAUAUUCUGUGAGCAGGAAAGCAGGGGAUCGCAAGACCUUGCGCUGAUUGAGCGGCCGAUAUCAGAUUGGCUAGUUGGUGAGGUAAAGGCUCACCAAGGCGACGAUCUGUAGCGGGUCUGAGAGGAUGAUCCGCCACACUGGAACUGAGACACGGUCCAGACUCCUACGGGAGGCAGCAGUGGGGAAUUUUGGACAAUGGGGGCAACCCUGAUUCAGCCAUGCCGCGUGAGUGAAGAAGGCCUUCGGGUUGUAAAGCUCUUUCGGCCGGGAAGAAAUCGUAUCAGCUAAUACCUGGUGCGGAUGACGGUACCGGCAUAAGAAGCACCGGCUAACUACGUGCCAGCAGCCGCCGUAAAAC